rnacentral:tRNA from 1 species
ACCGCGAUAGCUCAGUUGGUAGAGCAUCUUCCCGGUAAGCUGAAUGCCGCUGGUUUGAUUCCAGCUCACGGCG